rnacentral:rRNA from 1 species
AUUGAACGCUGGCGGCAGGCCUAACACAUGCAAGUCGAGCGGAUGAAGGGAGCUUGCUCCUGGAUUCAGCGGCGGACGGGUGAGUAAUGCCUAGGAAUCUGCCUGGUAGUGGGUGAUAACGUCCGGAAACGGGCGCUAAUACCGCAUACGUCCUGAGUGAGAAAGUGGGGGAUCUUCGUACCUCACGCUCUCAUAUGUGCCUAGGUCGGAUUUGCUAGUUGGUGGGGUAAAGUCCUACCAAGGCGACGAUCCGUAACUGGUCUGAGAGGAUGAUCAGUCAAAGUGGAAAUGAGAAAAGGAAAAGACGACUACGGGAGGAAGCAGUGGGGAAUAUUGGACAAGGGGCGAAAGAAUGAUAAAGCAAAGCGGAGUGUGGGAAGAAGGUAUUAGGAUUGUAAAGAAAUUUAAGGUGGGAGGAAGGGAAGUAAGUGAAUAACUUGAUGUUUUGACGUGAAAAAAAGAAUAAGCACCGGCUAACUACGUG